GGCAAGAGAAAGGGAAUCUUUUUCAUCAGUCUAUUGUGUUAGCCCUCAAAUGAAGAGGAGCUACCCUCCCUGAAAUGCGUUAUUCUGUUUCCAUAGCAGCAGACGGCUUCAUAUUUUGUGGCGGGGGGGGGGAGUUCUUACCUCAGACAAACUAUAUAGACCUAACAGCACAAUCUUCAUAUUCGAACCUUCAUUUAGAAUUCCACUGAGAAUAUUCCAAAAAUUAGGCAUAGUCUUACAUAUACCAAGCAAAAAUUGUGUGUUAGGUAUAAAAUUUAACACAAAAUUGUAUUUUAUGUAAAUUUCAGAAAUUCCACAAUUAAAUAAAAAAACAUUCUUAAUUUUUUCAAAUUUUUUUUAUAAUAUAUUCAAAUGAAUUAAAGAAAAUUAAUUAAAAUUUUCAUCAUAGUUUCAUGGCUGCUGAUUUAAAUAUUUAAAAAUACAAUCUGAGUUAACUUUUAGGAAAUCUUCAAAUAUGCUUAGGAAAUAACCCCACCCCUACUCUUACUGCGAAUAAUUCUAUCUGUUCCUCCAAAAAUAUUCUUUUCUCCUUCUUUAUCUUUAUAACAUAAAAUUGAAGCAACAGGAAAGUGCAAGGUAUAUAGAAUUAUCUGAAAAUUUUGUUUAACUUUGGUUUAUACUAAUGACUUUUUUAUACUUUGUAGUAUUCUGACAAUCCACUUUUUUAUAUUUGAUGAGAAACAAACAAAAGUUUAAGGAUGUUUUUUUUUAAUGAAAAUUAUUUAUAUCUUUCAAAAAGGAAGAAAAAUUUUUUUCUCUCUUUCAGAUCUUUAUUUUCACCAUUAUUGAUACUUAUUUUAACCAUUAUUGAUUUAAUGAUUACUUGCUUUUAUUCUUGUAAAAUUUCUGUUCUAUUAAAAUUUUGGACUAUUAAUGACCUAGUGGAAAAGAUGUUGUAUGAAAAAAACCACUUUUGUUUUGAAGCGGAAGAGAGUGACUUAAUUGAUGAAGGGAACAAUGCAAUUAUUGCAAGAUAUAUUUAUUACCUGAUGAAGAGAUAGAAGAACCCGACUUUUGACCACAGAUUGUGUAUUGUGAAAUAUUUAUAUAAUGAAGAUAUUUAUUAAAUGUUUGAUUUCUUUUUUACUUGAAUUAAAGUCUUUUUCUAUUAAUGGCUGAUUGUUUUUUUUUUAAUUGAUUCAGUUUCUUUGUAUGAGUGUUAUGCUUUGCUCAUUUUAAUUCAUUGUGUGAGUAACUCAUCAUUUUUAAAUUCAUCCCUUUUAUUGUUACAAAAGGAUACAAAAAUGAUCAUUUGUUUCUGGGUUUUAAAAAAAGUUUUUUAUACCAUGGAGGUUGAGGAUGUCUUAAACUGAUUUUUGACAGUAUACUUGAGAUUUUCUUCCAAAACUGUCCUAUAAUACUGUAAAUAAUCAAAAUAGGGUGUCCUAUAAUACUGUAAACAAUCAAAUAAUCAAAAACUUAUAACUUGGAAUAUUUUCUGAAUGGAUUUUUUUCUAAUAAAAAAUCAAUAUUAUUUCAUAUUUAGCUUUAAAUAUUUGUAUAUCAAGUAAAACAUAUUUUUAAGAAUACAUCUAUGAAUGUUUUAUUGCUAUUGUUUUAACUGUAAUGCUUCCUGGUAGCUGAGUGGUACUUUUAUGUACUGGUCCAGAGUUCAGACCACAGCCUUUCAUCUGUUCAUUGGGUCAAUAAAAUGUCAGGGAGAACAGGGAAAACCUAGAAUUAACAUGGAAUUUUAUUUUGACUUUAAAAAUCGAGGAACAUUGCAGUGAAGAGGUGAUAGUAACAACGGAGUGGAAGAAGUUAUGAAUGUUUCAGAUCUGUGGCGAUGUGUUAUAAUUGUAAAUCUAUAUAUUGUAUGAUAGUUGUAAAAUAAAUAAAACUUAAUAAAUCUUA